GGGGUUGUAGCUCAGCUGGUUAGAGCGUCUGCCUGGCACGCAGAAGGUCGCGGGUUCGAGCCCCGUCAAUCCCGCCA
rnacentral:tRNA from 1 species